CAUUCUACAUAAUAACUGAACUGUAAUCUUUUGAAGUGUCAAGGUCAUGAAAGCCACUGAAAGACUGAGAACUGUUCCAGAAAGGAGACUAGAGAGACAUGGCAGCCAAAUGCUCCACAUAAUCCUGUCCUGGAUUCUUUUCCUACAAAGGAAGGGGUCUGAGGAUUAGGUGGUAGUACUGAAUCAAGGAACUAUCAUCUCCUAUUGUGCUGUAGGCAAACUUGAGUGACAUGGUGGAAGCCACCAGAGAGAAUAUCUGAAGCAAUUCAUUAAAAUCUUGGCAGCCAGACCCCAGCUCCCACUUUCCCUGAAAGCUCCCUUUAAUGAAGCUGAACGCUGUCCCAGCAAUUCCCUCCACAGAAGACCUACUGUCACCACCUCUGGAGGGGCAAUUCCUGGAGGAACCAAGUCAGCCAAUUGAAGGUCCUGAAUAAGCAAAAACUAAGUAAAUAAAUUACCAUCUCGAAAGUGAUGGGUUAGUGUGCUCUUUUGAAUGCCCCGUAGGAAAAUAAAUUUGAUUAAAAUUAAA